rnacentral:rRNA from 1 species
UCCGGUUGAUCCUGCCGGACCUGACUGCUAUCGGAUUGAUACUAAGCCAUGCGAGUCAUUGUAGCAAUACAAGGCAUACGGCUCAGUAACGCGUAGUCAACCUAACCUAUGGACGGGAAUAACCUCGGGAAACUGAGAAUAAUGCCCGAUAGAACACUAUACCUGGAAUGGUUUAUGUUCCAAAUGAUUUAUCGCCAUAGGAUGGGACUGCGGCCUAUCAGUUUGUUGGUGAGGUAAUGGCCCACCAUGACUAUUACAGGUACGGGCUCUGAGAGGAGUAGCCCGGAGAUGGGUACUGAGACACGGACCCAGGCCCUAUGGGGCGCAGCAGGCGAGAAAACUUUGCAAUGUGCGAAAGCACGACAAGGUUAAUCCGAGUGAUUUGUGCUAAACGAAUCUUUUGUUAGUCCUAGAAACACUAACGAAUAAGGGGUGGGCAAGUUCUGGUGUCAGCCGCCGCGGUAAAACCAGCACAUCAAGUGGUCAGGAUGAUUAUUGGGCCUAAAGCAUCCGUAGCCGGCUCUGUAAGUUUUCGGUUAAAUCUGUACGCUUAACGUACAGGCUGCCGGGAAUACUGCAGAGCUAGGGAGUGGGAGAGGUAGACGGUACUCGGUAGGAAGUGGUAAAAUGCUUUGAUCUACCGAUGACCACCUGUGGCGAAGGCGGUCUACCAGAACACGUCCGACGGUGAGGGAUGAAAGCUGGGGGAGCAAACCGGAUUAGAUACCCGGGUAGUCCCAGCUGUAAACUAUGCAAACUCAGUGAUGCAUUGGCUUGUGGCCAGUGCAGUGCUGCAGGGAAGCCGUUAAGUUUGCCGCCUGGGAAGUACGUACGCAAGUAUGAAACUUAAAGGAAUUGGCGGGGGAGCACCACAAGGGGUGAAGCCUGCGGUUCAAUUGGAUUCAACGCCGGA